UGGAGAGAAGGUAUGUGCAGUGACUGUGCCUCAACAAUAAGCACUUCUGGUUGAGCAUCAGCUUGUGAAUUCUCCACAUAUUGAUUUUGGAUAGACUGUAGGUCUUGAACUUCCUCAAGUUUCACUGUCCUCCCACUGCCCCUUUCUUGGAUGAAUUCUUUCUCCAAGAAAAUGGCAUGUCUACCAACAAAUAUCUUUUUUCGAGUAGGAUGAUAGAAGUAGUAUCCUAUACUCUCCUUGGGAUAACCUACA
rnacentral:lncRNA from 1 species